rnacentral:tRNA from 1 species
UAUAUUUUAGUAUAAGAUGUACAUAAAUUUUUGAUAUUUAAGGAAGUAGUUAAAUUCUGCUAAGUAUAA